rnacentral:rRNA from 1 species
UCGGGAAUUUUGGGCAAUGGGCGAAAGCCUGACCCAGCAACGCCGCGUGAGGGAUGAAGUAUUUCGGUAUGUAAGCCUCGAAAGAAUGGGAAGAAUAAAUGACGGUACCAUUUAUAAGCUCCGGCUAACUACGUGCCAGCAGCCGCGGUAAUACGUAGGGAGCAAGCGUUGUUCGGAUUUACUGGGUGUAAAGGGCGCGUAGGCGGCGCGGUAAGUCACUUGUGAAAUCUCUGAGCUUAACUCAGAACGGCCAAGUGAUACUGCUGUGCUAGAGUGCGGAAGAGGCAACCGGAAUUCUUGGUGUAGCGGUGAAAUGCGUAGAUAUCGAGAGGAACACCUGAGGCGAAGGCGGGUUGCUGGGCCGACACUGACGCUGAUGCGCGAAAGCCAGGGGAGCAAACG